GACUGCCAAGCAGAUGCCCAGAGAGUCUGUCUUCAGAGAGGACCGAGGCUUCUCCUGCCACAGCACAGGAAAUCAGCCCACUGAACCCAGGAAUACUCACCUAGAGAUAUCAAACUACUCACCAAGAGCAGCUGCCUGUGUGGGCCUUGUGCUGACUGUGUGAGAAACAAAUGAAUUGCUUGUGUCCCUCAUCUAAAAUUACAGUCACAGUUGGUAUGGCAGAUCUGAUUGGACAAGGGUUGGGCACUGAUCCUGUGAAAUGGGACAUUCAGAUUCUACUCUUCAAGACCUGAUAAAGGCUGAACACUGAAACCGUACUGUUGAGUAAAGAUGUCAUCAGAGAAAGAGCCAUCUACUCUAGGGACCAGGGUAGUCUUAUUUAGGGAGCAGAACC
ensembl:lncRNA